rnacentral:rRNA from 1 species
AGCAGCCGCGGUAAUUCCAGCUUCAAUAGCGUAUAUUAAAGUUGCUGCAGUUAAAAAGCUCGUAGUUGAAUUUCGGGACCAUCAUGUCGGUCGUGCCUCGGUACGUACUGGCAUUGUUGGUUUCUCCCUUCUGACGAACCACGAUGUCAUUUAUUUGGUGUUGUGGGGAAUCAGGACUGUUACUUUGAAAAAAUUAGAGUGUUUAAAGCAGGCUCACGCUUGAAUACAUUAGCAUGGAAUAAUGAAAUAGGACGUUUGAUUCUAUUUUGUUGGUUUCUAGGAUCGACGUAAUGAUUAAUAGGGAUAGUUGGGGGCAUUAGUAUUCAAUUGUCAGAGGUGAAAUUCUUGGAUUUAUUGAAGACUAACUACUGCGAAAGCAUUUGCCAAGGAUGUUUUCAUUAAUCAAGAACGAAAGUUAGGGGAUCGAAGACGAAUCAGAUACCGUCGUAG